rnacentral:rRNA from 1 species
UUUCGCAAUGCCCGAAAGGGUGACGAAGCGACGCCGCGUGUGGGAAGAAGGCCUUCGGGUUGUAAACCACUGUCGGGAGUUAAGAAAUGUAAGGGUGUUAAUAGUAUCCUUACUUGACUAAGGCUCCGGAGGAAGCCACGGCUAACUCUGUGCCAGCAGCCGCGGUAAUACAGAGGCGGCAAGCGUUGUUCGGAAUUAUUGGGCGUAAAGAGCACGUAGGCGGCUAUGUAAGUCGGUUGUGAAAGCCUUCCGCUCAACGGAAGAAUAGCAGUCGAUACUGCAUGGCUUGAGUGCGGGAGGGGAGAGCGGAACUUCUGGUGGAGCGGUGAAAUGCGUAGAUAUCAGAAGGAACGCCGGCGGCGAAAGCGACUCUCUGGCCCGUAACUGACGCUGAGUGUGCGAAAGCUAGGGGAGCAAACGGGAUUAGAUACCCCGGUAGUCCUAGCCGUAAACGAUGGGCACUAAGUAGAGGGGUUUU